AACGAACGCUGGCGGCAUGCCUAACACAUGCAAGUCGAACGAGACCUUCGGGUCUAGUGGCGCACGGGUGCGUAACGCGUGGGAACCUGCCUUUAGGUUCGGAAUAACUCAGAGAAAUUUGAGCUAAUACCGGAUGAUGUCUUCGGACCAAAGAUUUAUCGCCUUUAGAUGGGCCCGCGUUGGAUUAGCUGGUUGGUGGGGUAAAGGCCUACCAAGGCGACGAUCCAUAGCUGGUCUGAGAGGAUGAUCAGCCACACUGGGACUGAGACACGGCCCAGACUCCUACGGGAAGCAGCAGUGGGGAAUAUUGGACAAUGGGCGAAAGCCUGAUCCAGCAAUGCCGCGUGAGUGAUGAAGGCCUUAGGGUUGUAAAGCUCUUUUACCCGAGAUGAUAAUGACAGUAUCGGGAGAAUAAGCUCCGGCUAACUCCGUG
rnacentral:rRNA from 1 species